ACAGCCAAAGGAGAGCUGCAGUUGGCUUGAGGAAAGCAGAUAAAAACAACCAGAAAAAUCAAGGAGGAGCGGCGCACGGGAGGGUAAACAAGGAACAAAAUGCGGAGGACAAAAAGAGGGGGAAAAAAAGACCAAGAGGAAGAUCAAGGGGGGUCGACCAAACACGGAAGGAUAAAGGGUAUCGUAGGCGUUACGACGACUUGAAGGUUUGAACUCUUAAUCUUACCCAUUCUAACUCUUUUUAUACAUCAAACUUAUAAGAGGUGUAUUGAUGGUAAUGUAGUGUUUGUUGAGAGGCCAAAAAAAAAAAACUAAAGUUGUGUUGUUGUAAUUUAAAUUUCUUAUUUUUUGUUUUACAUUAUUUAUUAUUGGUAUAUACUCAAACUUGAAUCAGAUUUAUAAAAUAAUAAUUUGUUUUAGAUUUUUUAUAAUAAUGGUAAAAAAAUAUUUAUUAAA
rnacentral:lncRNA from 1 species